GGGACGUCGGCGCCCAAUCAGCAGCGGAGCCGCUUGGGCCCGCAGGGUGCUGCGAGGUUAUUGGGCAACGCAAAUCCAGGCAGCUGGGCUGGAGGCGGUGGUCGCUAGGCUAGGUCAAGGGGGACCGCCUGGGCAGCAACCAUUCCCCUAUUCCUUGUCCUCAGCUUCCCUCCUGCCGGGCACCUCUCGCAGCGCAGGAUGUGGACUGAGUCAAAGCGGUGGGGGGAAGGGAGCAGGUCCCAGACGACCACGAUUCCCGAGGUUCCCACUCCCUGGAGACUCAGUAUGGCUGUACCGCUCCGGUGGUCUGGUCAGCGCACCUUGCCUCUGCACACCCAGCCUAGCCAUUCUCGAUCAUAACUGCUAAAAGGAGCAAAGGAGGAAGGCUUAAGAAGUAGAAUCCACGUGUAAAUCCAAACCCUUAUAUUAGUCUCCCCAUACCCCCAAAUCCGCCUCCAGGUAGCUCUUUAACCAGAACCCCCGGCAGGUAAAUUAAUUUGACUGCUUGGAGUUAAGAGCUAAAUAAGUUUGGGUGAAAAAAUGAGCUAGGACCUUCGGCGAUCCGGGAAAGGAAGACUGAGUCCCGACGUCAAAAGGCCCCGGCCUCGCAUUGGAGGCUACCUGAUUGCUGGAAAACUGUAGCGUUCAAGACAGUGUUGCCACUCAUUCUGUGCUGGUGAAUCCGUGUACACCAUGAUACCAAGGUUUGUUGGAAAUCUGCUGUCUGCCAGACCCUAUACUUACUGGAAGAGGCAAUCUGCUGUGGACUCUGAACAACCCUAUGUGUUCUUGCUGGACUUAGGGGUGCCAUCAGGCCCUUCUGGAGCCAGCUUCCUACUUGGAGGACACAGAAAAGACCACCGUGCUUCUGCAAUGUGGAUUCCCAGCACCACUUCAAGGUUCCAAAUCCCCGCUGGACCACUAACUGAUCCUGGUAUAACUGGAGCCCAUUCUGACGGCCACAGCCAACGGCGAUCUGACUCCCCCAAACAACUUGUGCUCCUCUCACUGGACAUUUACAAAGGACAGACGAAAGAAGAAAGAGAGAGAGGGAGAGAGAGAUUAUGUAAUGAGUUAUUCAUAAAGUCACAAUUUAUUUAUUUUUAAUUCUACAAUUUGUCCCCUCUACUGUUAUACUAAAAUGUCCCUUCUUUAAAAAAACCAUGGUCAUAGGCAUUAGCAGCGGGAUUUUUAAUGUGCUUAAAUAGCAACAUCAAAAGCUGGCAACCUCAUAGUUUGGCUGAAAAUUUCCUCUAAGUUUUUGCUGGCCUAUGGACCCAUGGGACUAGGAUGCGCAUUUCCUCUUCAAUUCUAAGCUGAAUAUGGUGGGUAGAGUUUAAAAUCUCUGACUUUUAUUUUGAUCUCAGAGGAAAGCAACAGGAGUCACCCAGCAACCCUGCCAGUCUCCCCACCUCUUAUUCGAAUCUGCGAGCUUCUGCUGUACUUGUCAACAACAGUGACAUAUUGAGAAGGAAUUUCAAAAGCAGAGCUUGCAUCCCAGGACACUGGAGCUCUGAGUGCCAACAGAAAAUUGUGCAUCCUUGCAGUGUAGAGAAAAAGCAGAUUUGCUUUGUUAAAUUCCUUGAAUCAUUUCAAAGGAAAUUUCCCCAGCCCAGAGAUACUGGAAAUGAGAUCUGCUCAGAACAGGCUGUAGAGACAAAUUGAACCCAGGGGCUGGCUAUAGAAACAUUACCCCAGAACCAGAAUAAAAGUUACUUACUUACAUUUUUACCUACUGAAAUGUGGGUCUUACCUUGGCAUCUGAAAUAAAUGACAUAAAACUCCAUUCGUCUCCUUCCCACUGUGUACCCACCUAUUUCGGCAGGAACUAUUAAAACUGUAGCAGGUCAGAGCAAAUUGUCGCUGGCAGCAGCUUCAAUAAAUCUGUGCCACUGAACUGCAGGAAGAAUUAAAAUGCAGAAAUUAGAAAUCAAAGGCACUGAGUUUAGUGUAAGUGCGACUUAUCUGAUUAAGCGUAGUUUCAUAAACCCCUAGAUCUCCAUCUCAUAAAGCCCUGGGGAAAACCUGAGGGGGUGGG
ensembl:lncRNA